UCUAUCUCCUUGAAAGAUAAAAGUAUUCUCUAUCUGUUCUAUACUAUCCUUCUACCUCAAACCUUAUAUUAGAGAUAAAAUAAAAUCAUUUAAACAUUAAGGCUAAACCUCCUUCAAUCACCUGAAGUCCUAAAGCUGGCAAAACAGGAGUAAAUGGUUUAAGGUAUUUUAAAUCAAGUUAACGUUUUAGAAUUAAAUUGUAUUUUAACCUUUUUUAUUUAUAACUUUGAUUUAGGAGUUCCUAAAUUGCUCUAAACUACAUUUAACUGAAACCAGAAAAUAAACACCCUAGAAAAAAAAAUUUAACUUUUAUGGGACAGAGCAGAAUAUCGACAGGACUGGCAAGGAUAAUUUACAAGAUCUAGUGCACCCUUAGAAGAAAUCCAAUAAUUGUAUUCAACUUAUUGAAAAAGAGAAUCUGAUCAAGGUUCAAGAGAAUCUGAAAAUGUAAGCAAUGUUAAAAAGUGAAAAUAUAUGUUUUUUCGGC